rnacentral:rRNA from 1 species
AAAUUGAAGAGUUUGAUCAUGGCUCAGAUUGAACGCUGGCGGCAGGCCUAACACAUGCAAGUCGAACGGUAACAGGAAGCAGCUUGCUGCUUCGCUGACGAGUGGCGGACGGGUGAGUAAUGUCUGGGAAACUGCCUGAUGGAGGGGGAUAACUACUGGAAACGGUGGCUAAUACCGCAUAACGUCGCAAGACCAAAGAGGGGGACCUUCGGGCCUCUUGCCAUCAGAUGUGCCCAGAUGGGAUUAGCUAGUUGGUGAGGUAACGGCUCACCAAGGCGACGAUCCCUAGCUGGUCUGAGAGGAUGACCAGCCACACUGGAACUGAGACACGGUCCAGACUCCUACGGGAGGCAGCAGUGGGGAAUAUUGCACAAUGGGCGCAAGCCUGAUGCAGCCAUGCCGCGUGUAUGAAGAAGGCCUUCGGGUUGUAAAGUACUUUCAGCGGGGAGGAAGGUGUUGUGGUUAAUAACCACAGCAAUUGACGUUACCCGCAGAAGAAGCACCGGCUAACUCCGUGCCAGCAGCCGCGGUAAUACGGAGGGUGCAAGCGUUAAUCGGAAUUACUGGGCGUAAAGCGCACGCAGGCGGUCUGUCAAGUCGGAUGUGAAAUCCCCGGGCUCAACCUGGGAACUGCAUUCGAAACUGGCAGGCUUGAGUCUUGUAGAGGGGGGUAGAAUUCCAGGUGUAGCGGUGAAAUGCGUAGAGAUCUGGAGGAAUACCGGUGGCGAAGGCGGCCCCCUGGACAAAGACUGACGCUCAGGUGCGAAAGCGUGGGGAGCAAACAGGAUUAGAUACCCUGGUAGUCCACGCCGUAAACGAUGUCUACUUGGAGGUUGUGCCCUUGAGGCGUGGCUUCCGGAGCUAACGCGUUAAGUAGACCGCCUGGGGAGUACGGCCGCAAGGUUAAAACUCAAAUGAAUUGACGGGGCCCGCACAAGCGGUGGAGCAUGUGGUUUAAUUCGAUGCAACGCGAAGAACCUUACCUGGUCUUGACAUCCACAGAACUUUCCAGAGAUGGAUUGGUGCCUUCGGGAACUGUGAGACAGGUGCUGCAUGGCUGUCGUCAGCUCGUGUUGUGAAAUGUUGGGUUAAGUCCCGCAACGAGCGCAACCCUUAUCCUUUGUUGCCAGCGGUUAGGCCGGGAACUCAAAGGAGACUGCCAGUGAUAAACUGGAGGAAGGUGGGGAUGACGUCAAGUCAUCAUGGCCCUUACGACCAGGGCUACACACGUGCUACAAUGGCGCAUACAAAGAGAAGCGACCUCGCGAGAGCAAGCGGACCUCAUAAAGUGCGUCGUAGUCCGGAUUGGAGUCUGCAACUCGACUCCAUGAAGUCGGAAUCGCUAGUAAUCGUGGAUCAGAAUGCCACGGUGAAUACGUUCCCGGGCCUUGUACACACCGCCCGUCACACCAUGGGAGUGGGUUGCAAAAGAAGUAGGUAGCUUAACCUUCGGGAGGGCGCUUACCACUUUGUGAUUCAUGACUGGGGUGAAGUCGUAACAAGGUAACCGUAGGGGAACCUGCGGUUGGAUCACCUCCUUA